GUAAAUAACGUUUAUGAAAACAAAAAAUUAUGGCGGUACUUUAAGCUUUUCAGAGGAAUUUGCUCUUUAAUGGAUAAAAACCUUAAUCUUACUAAAAUUAGUAAAGCCAGUUUGUAUACCACUAUUAAAGUAAUUAUUUAUUAUUAUUACUUAAAAUUUAAUUUAAAAAACAAAUUAAGUCAUGGUGCAGCAAAAAUUUUAGAAUGAAGUGAAUUACAUUUCUUUUAAGAAAAAAAAAUUUUUUUAAAUAAAUUUUAAAUUAGGAUUUGAAAGUAAAAAUGCAAUAGAAUGAUAUUUUGAAUUAAGCUCUGAAGUAUGUAC
rnacentral:rRNA from 1 species